rnacentral:rRNA from 1 species
GAUGAACGCUGGCGGCGUGCCUAAUACAUGCAAGUCGAGCGAACGGACGAGAAGCUUGCUUCUCUGAUGUUAGCGGCGGACGGGUGAGUAACACGUGGAUAACCUACCUAUAAGACUGGGAUAACUUCGGGAAAACGGAGCUAAUACCGGAUAAUAUUUUGAACCGCAUGGUUGAAAAGUGAAAGACGGUCUUGGUGUCAGUUAUCGAUGGAUCUAGGCUGCAUUAGCUGGUUGGUAAGGUAACGGCUUUCCAAGGCAACGAGGCAUAGCCGACGUGAUAGGGUGAUCGGCCACACUGGAGGUGAGACACGGUCCAGACUCCUACGGGAGGCAGCAGUAGGGAAUCGUCCGCAAUGGGCGAAAGCCUGACGGAGCAACGCCGCGUGAGUGAUGAAGGUCUUCGGAUCGUAAAACUCUGUUAUUAGUGAAGAACAUAUGUGUAAGUAACUGUGCACAUCUUGACGGUACCUAAUCAGAAAGCCACGGCUAACUACGUG